rnacentral:tRNA from 1 species
AGAGAGUUGACAGAAUGAAUAAUGUAUUUAAUUUGAGAUUAAACUUUUAAGAGUUAAAAUCUCUUACUCUCUU